AAAACUUCUAUUUUUGAUAAUCCUAAUCCUAUUCAAAAUCAAAGACGUACAGAUAGAAUUUACAUGGAUAAUCCCAUUAGGAAUCAGACUCUGUAUGACUUUAUCAUCUUUAGAAACCAUCGCAGGAUGACAGAACCAACGCGACACGUAAGCUCUGUCGCGCUGCGAUACCACUGUCGCCCCGCGUCAAAAGGCGUUUUAUCCGAUUCAAAUUAUGAUUUUUUUUUAUCGUGCAAAAUCUCUAUUUUUCCCUAUAAAUAGAGGUCGUUUUCCUUCGUUUCAAAUCAGUCACAAUCAACCAUCAAAAUCCUUAGCUCAUCUUUUCCUAUUACACGAACUAAUUGAUCUCAACCAGCUUUUUUCCAGAUUGUUUUUUGUUUUGCUUGCUAUUCAGCACAUCUCAAUUUAGUGCAAGUGUGUACAAAACAUUAGUAUCCCUUUAUCCUAACGUAUUCGAGGAUUUCAUAUACAAGUAAUUAUCAUGCUUCUCUAACAAAUCGGCUUUUCAUGUAUAGACUGGCAACCAAAUUGAUCUUAAUUUUCCUGUUUUCCAAAAUAUUCUUUGUUUUGCUGGGCACAAGAAGCAGAGAGGGAUAGCGCACAAGAACAGCAGCAGCCUCUUAAACAAGUGCCAUCCUCAUUCCUUAAUGCCCAUUUGAGUAUUGAAUUGACCACUAUGAGACUUUGUUCGGUGAAACUACGGUGUUAGUUACUCCGUAAACUUUUAAUGGCAGGUUGUGUUAUAUGAGCGAGUUUUUGCUUAAAGUUAAUUACUUUUAGUACUCUAUAUGUGCCUGAGAAAAUAAGUGUUUAAACGCACGUUAAUAAAUCAAACUAUAUGAACCAAAAUAUAAUCACAUUUUACUUGUAUAUUACAUUGAGCAAAUUACCCUAGUCUCAAAGAAUGAUGUAAAGAUAUUGAAGAGAUGAACAAAAAUCACUUGGAUGUAAAAGAAUUAGCUAGUGCUCGUGCUUAAAUAUUAAAUUAGGUGUAGCUCAUAUAAACUGUAGUACUGUACAAUGUGAUGUUUUAAUGGCCACCCACAACAAUUUGGACCAAAAAAAA